rnacentral:rRNA from 1 species
GACAGGGGGUGCAAACGUUGUUCGGAAUUACUGGGCGUAAAGCGCGUGUAGGCGGCUUUGCAAGUCGGGCGUGAAAUCCCACGGCUCAACCGUGGAAGUGCACUCGAAACUGCAGAGCUAGAGUCCUGGAGAGGAAGGUGGAAUGCUUGGUGUAGAGGUGAAAUUCGUAGAUAUCAAGCGGAACACCGGUGGCGAAGGCGGCCUUCUGGACAGUGACUGACGCUGAGACGCGAAAGCGUGGGGAGCAAGCAGG